rnacentral:rRNA from 1 species
ACCUGCCCUAUGAAUAAUUUACUUUUAAAUGGCUGCGGUACUCUGACCGUGCAAAGGUAGCAUAAUAAUUAGUUUCUUAAUUGGGAACUGGAAUGAAUGGUCGAACGAGAAAAAUACUGUGCUCAAUUUAAUUUAAAUUAGAAUUUUAUUUUUAAGUAAAAAAGCUUAAAUAUUCUUAAAAGACGAGAAGACCCUAUAGAGUUUUAUAUAAAUUAUUAUAAUUGAAAGUUAAAGUAUCUUAGAUUUGGUUAUAAUAAUUUAUAUUUGGUUGGGGCGAUUAAAAAAUUAAAUAAACUUUUUUUAGAUUAAACCAUUGAUUUAUGAAUAGGUGAUCCAUAUUUUUAUGAUUAUAAGAUU